GAUUUAUUUAUUAAGAACAUGUUAACGUUGUAAAGUUAUAUGGUGAUUAAUAAAUGGUAAUGAAAUGUUAGUCGUUUUUUAGGAUAGCUAGUUUAUUGGUAAAGGUAUUUAAGUGCUAUAGUAUUAGUAUAAUAUGGGUAUAUUUUAAUGCUAGUUUAUUAUAUAGGGGAUAAGCUUUAUAUAAAUUUAUAGAAUUUUGUUAUUAUUUAUUAAAUUAAAAGUAGGGUUAAUGUGUUUUUCUUUAAGAGGUUAGAUAAUGUAUAAAUUAAUAUUCAGUAGAAAGCCAAUAAAUAACUGUUAAUUUAAGUAGUUAAAUAUAAUGUUAAUAUGAGUAUUAAAUAAUUUGUUAAAUUUAUAUAAUUAAAAUUGUAAUGAUUUAUAUUGUAAUGAAAUAAUGAAAUAAAAUAAAGGAAUUCGGCAAAUAGUAAUCUCGCCUGUUUAUCAAAAACAUGUCUCCUUGUAAAAGAUAGAUAAGGAG
rnacentral:rRNA from 1 species